rnacentral:lncRNA from 1 species
AGCGCGAUCUCGUCCUUUCCGAGGUCCUCUGCCGCGUGUUUGGAAGUUAUGGCCGCGCGGGUCUGUGGUGUUCUCCCUGAAAGGCCUAAGCUUUGGGUGAUGGCAUUGCCUUUUGGCACUCGGGAGACAAGAUGCAGGUUCCGUCUCAGAAGUAAUGGCUGGAUCCCUGAAAGCCAACGGGCUCGGUGUGGUCCACCCGUCAGAAGGCAUAGGUAGAUGGUGGGCAUCUGCCUCAGACAUAGUUCUCAAGUUCAGCCAGAAGAAUGCGCGUUGAGCCCUCUGCAGCCCGUGUCGACGGAGGUGUUGUCUCCAGGAAGCAUCAUGGAAAGGCGUGGUGGUGCACAAGGGCCUUCAGGAUGCCUGCGCCUGGUGACGGCUGCGCCUCAGGUUCUGGGCCUGACUCGGAAGGGUGCCUGUGAGCAGAAGAGCUGGCACGCGCAGCUCAGUGGACCAUCAGUGCCAACCCGUCCUGUACCCUGGCUGAGGGGUGUGCUAAGUGGCAGAUUCCCGGUUGGCUCAUCGUAAGGCGUGGCACAAAAUCACCAUCGAAAGAAAGGGCCUUCGGGAUGCCUCUAUCUGGUUCUUUCCUUGUUUCUAGGUUAUUGCCCUGUAGUGCCAGAGAGAACCACAUAGCCUGCUGCUGCUCCUGCCUUUAAUUUCCCAAAGAGUCAUCAGACGACCUUGGAGUUUGUUCUGCAAGAGGAGCCAGUAAGGCCUCGUGACUGUGGUCACCCUCGGAAGCCUUUGACAGCUAGCUGGUGAGGGCGCUCAGUCGGAGGCCCUGGGGAGGCCCCUGCUAAGCCGAGAAAAGCAUUUCUCACAGUGGAUUUCCUGGAAGUCAGGGUUGGCCUUUGUAUUUUGAAGCACAAAUAAACUUUAUAAAAUUUAACUUGG